rnacentral:lncRNA from 10 species
UUUAGUUCUGUGGAUCCAAAAUUUAUAGCAUUCUUCUACCACCACAGGGGCUCAUAUGACAUUAACAGACAAGACACUUUUCAGAAAGACAGGUUGUUCUUUUGGGCCACAUCUAAGAAAUCUUUGUCUAGCCAAAAGCCACAAAUAAUUUCUCAUUUUUUGGCUUCUGGAAGAUGUACAGUUAAAUGUUAUAUUUGGGACUGUUAUCUAAUUUGAUUAAAUUGCACUCUACAAUAUGAUAUUUGAAUUGAUGAAAAAUUAGUAAAUGUUAAUAUUUUUUAAAGUAGCCAAAUCUUGCAAUUUAUAUAUAAUAGAGAAGACUAGAAAAUCCCCCAUAUUUAUUUCCUCUUACUUCGUACUACUAAAAUUUGUAUUUAGGCAUUUGGUUUCUCAGAUAAACAUUACAUUCCCCAGUAUAUGGUUCUAUCUGGCUUGGUGACGACAUGUUGAACAUUAAGAUGUGAGCAGAAGUAAUACAUACACACUCUUUUUAAUGUCUUUAAUUGAAUGGGAUAUUGGCCCAUUUUUUCUUCCAGUUUAUUACACUGAAUAUUGACAUGUUAUUUUCCAAUAUUGAGACAAUCAAUGACAAGACUUUAAGAGUAACAAUGUAAAAAUUAUAGAAGUUGUCUGAGUUUAUCAACAAUCCCCUGGAUUAGAACCCCCUACCAGUUCUAGGUCAUCUAAUAUAUAGACAUUGUGUUCAGUAGAAAUAAAUAUAUAUAUUUUUUAAUAUACUUUAAGUUCUAGGAUACAUGUGCACAACAUGCAGGUUUGUUACAUUGGUAUACACAUGCCAUGUUGGUUUGCUGCACCCAUUAACUCAUCAUUUACAUUAGUUAUUUCUCCUAAUGCUAUCCCUCCCCCUGCCCCCCACCCCCCGACAGGCCCUGGGGUGUGAUGUUCCCCACCCUGUGUCCAAGUGUUCUCAUUGCUCAAUUCCCACCUAUGGGAAUACAUUUUUAAAUCAUUUUUAAAGGUGUUAUUACAUUCUGAUUGAACAUUUUCAGAAAGAAUAAAUAAUUUAAUACAAGAAGUGGGCCACUUCAUGUAACAAAACAAACCACCACUACAGCAACAACAACAAAAAACACUAAUGAAUGUGACUUUAGCUUUGCAACAUCAUGACAGACUAGCAAGUUAAUGACAUUUGUUAUGCCAUAGAAAAUAUUUGUUGAAUUGCCACUCUAAUGACUUUAUAUCAGCCAACUCAUUAUCAACACUAGAAAAGAUGAUUAAAAAAUACUUCAGUACGUUCAUGUGUUGGCUUGUUAACAUUUUUAAGAGUCUAUAAGAGAAAAAUGCAUCCAAUCUCGGCAAAAAUAUUUUUCAAGUAUCUUGUAGGUACGUACAACUAACUACCUUGUGAACAAAAGUCACUAUAUAAUUAUAUAAUUUCUGACACUUAAAAAAGUUUAUUGUGCAAAAGAAGAUAUAUGUUCUAAUACCAAAUCCACAUAUAAAAUAAUUGACUUAUUUAAAUAAUUUAAGAUGCUCUUUUAUAUAUUUAUAUUAAAAACUUUACAGAGAAUAAAAAAGGCAUUAUACAGGCUGCUUAUGGUUUUUGAUGUUUGGAUAUACAAUACAUGUAUCAAAGAUUGUGGAAAUAAAUCAAGCAAUAUAUUCAAU